rnacentral:misc_RNA from 1 species
AAAAUGCGAUAAGUAGCGUGAAUUGCAGACGCUUUGAACGUUAAACUUUCGAACGCACAUUGCGCCAUAGGAGUUCUACCCUAUGGCACAUCUGGUUGAGGGUCGUGAUCAAAACAGCUGAGCACUGAGAUGCUGUAUGUUUAAAUGAAUUGGUGAAUCAUCAGGCCGGCACACUUGACUAGUUGCUCGGCGGUGUUUUGCCAUAAUGCUUCAGAGGGCUAGUUUCGCUACGGCGCUAGCUUCCUUACCACACGGACGGGCAGCCAAGGCAGACUGAAUUGGGCCGGCCGCUAGGUGUUUGGUAUAUCCAUCGCUGCCCUCGAAGAUAGGGGGCAACACCUUGGUGUGAGUCGGACCGUCGCUUGGUGUUUGGUCACCGUACGUGCUUGGAGUAGACGAUUCAACUACUGGUUGAUCGAAUUCCCGACCUCAACUCAGGUGUGAUUACCCGCUGAACUUAAGC